AACGCGAAGAACCUUACCUGGGCUCGAAAUGUUAUGGACCGGGGUAGAAAUAUCCCUUCCCAGCAAUGGGCCGUAAUAUAGGUGCUGCAUGGCUGUCGUCAGCUCGUGUCGUGAGAUGUUGGGUUAAGUCCCGCAACGAGCGCAACCCUUAUCCCCAGUUGCCAUCAUUAAGUUGGGCACUCUGGUGAAACCGCCUCGGAUAACGGGGAGGAAGGUGGGGAUGACGUCAAGUCCUCAUGGCCUUUAUGUCCAGGGCUACACACGUGCUACAAUGGCCGGUACAAACCGUCGCAAACCCGCGAGGGGGAGCUAAUCGGAAAAAGCCGGCCUCAGUUCGGAUCGCAGUCUGCAACUCGACUGCGUGAAGCUGGAAUCGCUAGUAAUCGCGGAUCAGAAUGCCGCGGUGAAUACGUUCCCGGGCCUUGUACACACCGCUAGUC
rnacentral:rRNA from 1 species